GUGGGGAAUCUUGCGCAAUGGGCGAAAGCCUGACGCAGCCAUGCCGCGUGAAUGAUGAAGGUCUUAGGAUUGUAAAAUUCUUUCACCGGGGACGAUAAUGACGGUACCCGGAGAAGAAGCCCCGGCUAACUUCGUGCCAGCAGCCGCGGUAAUACGAAGGGGGCUAGCGUUGCUCGGAAUUACUGGGCGUAAAGGGCGCGUAGGCGGACAGUUUAGUCAGAGGUGAAAGCCCAGGGCUCAACCUUGGAAUUGCAUUUGAUACUGGCUGUCUUGAGUACGGGAGAGGUGAGUGGAACUCCGAGUGUAGAGGUGAAAUUCGUAGAGAUUCGGAAGAACACCAGUGGCGAAGGCGACUCACUGGCCCGUUACUGACGCUGAGGCGCGAAAGCGUGGGGAGCAAACAGGAUUAGAUACCCCGGUAGUCC
rnacentral:rRNA from 1 species